rnacentral:rRNA from 1 species
UACGUAGGGUGCGAGCGUUAAUCGGAAUUACUGGGCGUAAAGCGUGCGCAGGCGGCGCGUUAAGACAGGUGUGAAAGCCCCGAGCUUAACUUGGGAAUUGCGCUUGUGACUGGCGUGCUUGAGUGUGGCAGAGGGAGGUGGAAUUCCACGUGUAGCAGUGAAAUGCGUAGAGAUGUGGAGGAACACCGAUGGCGAAGGCAGCCUCCUGGGCCAGCACUGACGCUCAUGCACGAAAGCGUGGGGAGCAAACAGG